GGACCCGCACAAGCGGUGGAGCAUGUGGUUUAAUUCGAAGCAACGCGAAGAACCUUACCAAGCCUUGACAUCCGGCCCGCAGCCCAUGUAAAGUGGGUUCCCCACGGGGGGGCCGAGACAGGUGGUGCAUGGUUGUCGUCAGCUCGUGUCGUGAGAUGUUGGGUUAAGUCCCGCAACGAGCGCAACCCUUGCCCCCAGUAGCCAGCGGUCAGGCCGGGCACUCUGGGGGGACUGCCGGGGACAACCCGGAGGAAGGCGGGGAUGACGUCAAAUCAUCAUGCCCCUUAUGGCUUGGGCCACACACGUGCUACAAUGGCGCCGACAAAGGGAUGCGAACGCGCGAGCGGGAGCGAACCCCAAAAACGGCGCCCCAGUUCGGAUUGCAGUCUGCAACUCGGCUGCAUGAAGCCGGAAUCGCUAGUAAUCGCGGAUCAGAAUGCCG
rnacentral:rRNA from 1 species